rnacentral:rRNA from 1 species
AAAUUGAAGAGUUUGAUCAUGGCUCAGAUUGAACGCUGGCGGCAGGCCUAACACAUGCAAGUCGAGCGGAAACGAGUUAUCUGAACCUUCGGGGAACGAUAACGGCGUCGAGCGGCGGACGGGUGAGUAAUGCCUAGGAAAUUGCCCUGAUGUGGGGGAUAACCAUUGGAAACGAUGGCUAAUACCGCAUAAUACCUACGGGUCAAAGAGGGGGACCUUC